AUUAUGCAAAGCGGUUAAUUAUACCUGCAUUAAUACAAUAUGUCGAGCACAGUUCGACUGUUAUCGCACGUAUUUUACUUUUUUUUUUUUUUGAGACAAAAUUCAAUUGAACGUCUCCUAAAGUUGCCCAAUAUGGCCACAAGAAUUGUUUUAACUUUUAUCGUACAUUUAAAUAAACUAUUUCGGGUAAAAAAAAAAUAGAUACUUAUCAAAACGCCGCUCCCACAAAAAUGAAAUGACGGAUUUUGGUCACACUGGAAAACUUAAAGACGGCCAUUUUAAUUUUAUCUUCUACAACGAAAAUAUUUAGCGGGGAA